rnacentral:rRNA from 1 species
GACGAACGCUGGCGGCGUGCUUAACACAUGCAAGUCGAACGGAAAGGCCCCUUUUUGGGUACUCGAGUGGCGAACGGGUGAGUAACACUUGCGUAACCUGCCCUUGUCUUCCGGUUUACUUCAGGUAACUGGGUCUAAUACCGGUUAGGAAUCCUUUCUGCAUGGUUGGGGUUGGAAAGCUUCUGCGGUUUUGGAUGGACUCGCGGCUUAUCCGCUUGUUUGUGGGGUAGUGGCUUACCAAGGCUUUGACGGGUAGCCGGCCUGAGAGGGCGACCGGCCAAAAUGGGACUGAGAGACGGCCCAGACACCUAAGGGAGGAAGAAGAGGGGAAUAUUGCAAAAGGGGGGGAAGCCGGAUGCAGAAAAGCCGGGUGCGGGAAGACGGCCUUCGGGUUGAAAAACGCUUUCAGCAGGGGAGAAGCUUGUGGUGACGGUACCUGAAGAAGAAGCACCGGCUAACUACGUG